GAGACGCGGCGGCGGCUACACAUGCAGUCGAGCGCGCUUCGGGUGAGCGGCGGACGGGUUAGUAACGCGUGGGAACGUGCCCUUCUCUACGGAAUAGCCUCUGGAAACGGAGAGUAAUACCGUAUACGCCCUUUGGGGGAAAGAUAUCGGAAAGAUCGCCGCGUUAAUUAGGUAGUUGGUGGGGUAACGGCUACCAAGCCUACGAUCUAAUAGCCUGGUUUUAGAGGAUGAUCAGCAACACUGGGACUGAGACACGGCCCAGACUCUUCUACGGGAGUGGCAGCAGUGGGGAAUCUUAGACAAUGGGGGCAACCCUGAUCUAGCCAUGCCGCGUGAGUGAUGAAGGCCUUAGGGUCGUAAAGCUCUUUCGCCUGUGAUGAUAAUGACAGUAGCAGGUAAAGAAACCCCGGCUAACUCCGUGCCAGCAGCCGCGGUAAUACGGAGGGGGUUAGCGUUGUUCGGAAUUACUGGGCGUAAAGCGCGCGUAGGCGGAUUAGAAAGUUGGGGGUGAAAUCCCGGGGCUCAACCCCGGAACUGCCUCCAAAACUGCUAGUC
rnacentral:rRNA from 1 species